CGACGCUCGGAGGCCGGUAUCGGAGCGAGGCAUCAUCCACGCGAUAUCAUCACAGCCGAUUGAAAAACUGGCCCAUUUUGAUGAAGUGGCCCAUGUGGAUAAAGUUGAGUGAAGUGACCUGUGUUUUUAUUACUUACUCUGUGUUUCACAGUCAAGUGUGUUUGUGUCAUGUUUCAAAAAUGGCCGCUUCAAACGACUCGACAAUAUGAUCAUACGUCAGGAGCCUGGUUAGGAGAGGAGAGGAAUAACCAUUUUAAGCAGCAUCAAGAAAGGGGUUAUUUUCUAGGAAAUCAUUACAG